UCUAUUAAAUCCCCUAAUUUCUGUAAUCUCUUUCCUCUUCUUCUUCAUCAUCAAUAAUGAUACGUCCUCUGUGCCGCACAGGGUAUCAAGUAAGUAACAUUAAUGGCGAUUGUUUAAAUACCCAUGCUUCUUGUUUUCAUUUUAGUAGGGUUAAUUUCAUUUCAUCUGUUGGUUCUUCCCCCAAUCACAGUAAGUCCUCUUCAUCUUCAUUGGUUGUCAAUACCUGAUCAAUUCAUCAUUUCAAAACCUCAUCAAACCCCGAUUCAGUAAACCUCACAUUUCCAAAACCAUUUCUAUGUUUCCCUUAGAAAACCCUUCAACCAAAAUUUGAUUUUUCAAAUCCAAAGGGAUUCCUGGACUUGGCCUAGCCAAAUUCAUCUCUAAUUACCCAUGUCUUUUUGAGAGAAGCUUACAAGUUGCAAUAAUCCCUUGCUGGCAUACCCUCCAUAACAUUGUUCAAAGUGAGAUCCAGAAGAGAUUAAGGAUAUGGGUUUCCAUCUUUAUAAAACCACAUAUUUUAAAGAUAUACGGGGAUUGACAUGUAUGAGCAAAUUGACUUGAACGCAAAGCUGAAUGUUUAUAGGAAAUGGGGUUGGUUAGAAAAAGAAAUUUCGAAUGCAUUUAAUGUAUGGCGUAUUCAGAGAAGAAGAUAACACCGAUCAUGGAUUACCUUGUGAAUCAGAUGGGUUAUAAUUCAUCAUUUAUAGCCAAAUCCUCAAGAAUAUUUGAGUCUAGCAUGAAGAAAACGAUUAUUUCUAGAUAUGUUGUUGUUCAGUGUUUAGUCUCCAAGGGUCAGAUUAAGAAGCAGAUUUCUUUCACUGGUUAAAAUUACUGAGAAGUCUUUCUGGAACAAGUUCGUGAGCAUGUAUGAGGUAGAAGAAUUUGAAGGUAUACCAAACUUCACUACUUCAUACUUCUUGAGCAUCUAAUGACUGAGAUCAAUACAUUACAAAGUUUACAAAUAUUGUAGUUUACAUAGUCAUUUUCGCUUUUGUGAAGUUUCUGCUUCUCUCUAGUUUUUAUCUAAUAUAUUGUCUGUCUCUGUACCAGUCCACUCACUUAGCUCAAGCAAUUUUUGGACUCCAGUAACAAAUUUAGUUGGUAACUGAAAGUUGUACGUCCGAAAAUGCUUUCACCCAGUUUGAGGUCAAAAUUUGGUUCAAAGCUUAAUAGUUAUUCUUUUCUGAGUUGCUCUCCAUGUUUGAUAUGAGCUUUCGAAGUUUCAAAUUAUGAGCAAAUAGUUGAAGAGGUAGCUUCAUGUCUUAGCUUUAUUAUAAUAGAACUGCUCCUCUGCACCUAGUUUCUUAAAUCUUGUCAUUUCUUUUACACUUAACAUAAAAUGGGUGAGACUCCAAAUGGUGUACCAUGUUUGCAAUAUCCACUAUCAGAAAGUUUUACUUGGAGAAGUUUGUCACAUGUGGUAGAAAUUCCUGGACUAGUGAGUCUAUGCCAUAGUUCACUAUUAAGAUCCUCUCUUUCAUUUGCGCAAAGGUUUAAUUUCUGGAUUCAUCCCAUGGUAUGAAGGAGUCACAAUACAAGUCACAAAGAUUCACUAGUUAGUUCAUUUAAGGUUACUUACAAGUAAGUGAAUAUCAGAGGUAUGAACUGGAGCACUUCUGUGUUUUGACUAUGUAAUGAUGACAAGCCUAAGCGAAGUUUGAUAAUGGUGCAUACUUCAUGACUAUCCUACUUAAAUUAACUAAACAUAACUGAGGAAUCAGAUUAAUUGCAUAAUUCAGUUCUUGUAUAUCAUAUGUUGAUUGUACUUGAACUUUUUAAGCAACGGGAAACUCAGAUGAUUUAUCUUAUGUUAGUUAAAGAUACUUUAGUUAUCAUGUGAUUACUUCAUGACUAUCCUGAUAAUAUGAAAGUCAUAGCUCACUACAUGAUUUAAACUUUUAGUGUUCUUAAAGGCACUCUCCUUUCCUCAAGCUCAGCUACAAGUGACACUAGUUACCUGGUAUUUUACUACUGCAGACUUUAUUGAUAAAAUUUAUGUCUCUGACUCGCGAAAUUAGCAUAGACUCUGUAAAAAUACCAUGUAAGGAACUUAUUCCUUCAUUGCAUGAUGCAUUAUAUGAUUAAUCGCCUGCUUGUAUUAGUAUUAUCUGUAUUACUCUGCAGGCCUUUAUCUAUAUGCUGUAAUGCAAUUUCUUUUAGAAGUAAGAUCUGAAUCCCUUUGUGAGUAUACACACCUGUCAGUAGUAAUAUAAUUAGUCUUUAUAAAUCUUGGGUUUGUCUCUGUUUCCACUGCAUGAAAAAUAGUGUAUGAACAAAGAGAAUAAUAAAUCGAGCUAUCUAUCAAGUGCAAGUAAGCUGCAUGGUGUCCAUUUGCAAAAUAAACUGCUUCCAACAUCUUUUUAAGCUUUGGCGUGUUGUUUUUAUCAGUUGUGUACGAUUAUAUUGUUUACCAUGCUUAAUUUUAAUUAUGGUUUGAAGUUCUUGACUGUUUUGUACAAUGAAUUAUUCAACAAAAUGGAACGAGUGACAAACGAUUUAUGUAAAAGAGGAGCACCAUAUUUCUAGUGUUAUUUGAUGAAAGAAUAAUGGCGACUUAGACGUCAGAGAUGUUUUGUUGGAAAAAGGCAGAAAAUAUGAUCGACAGAAAUAACAACAUGAAGGCUUGCAUUACAAAGAUGUAUAAAUAAAGGACAGUGACAGAUCACAUGGAUGCCUGAUGCCUCAAUUAAAGCAGCCACAUUCGCAUUUAAGAGCUAAGGAUGAAUCACUUUAACUAUCAUUAACUCAUGCACGCAGCAGGACCUUGGGAGUGUUAAUAUCGUUCAUGAACCAGGACAAUUCUUGACUGCAGGAGCGAUAACUUUAUCCUCAUCCGGCCUCCCUUGAGCAAGCUGAAGCUACUGCACUUCAAAAUGCAGUUUGCUGGGUUCCCAUGCGUUUGCAGCAUACUAUAAACUCUGUGAUUAUAGAUUUUGUCCCUGACUGUAUAUUAGCUUUGAAUGCUUCCAAGUGUAAUGGGGUUGAAAGGAAUUGAUCGUUCUCGGUAUUCCUUGCACAUCUGCUUUUCUUUGAAUAUAAUAACGUUAAAAAAUGUAAAAAAAAAAAAAACCCUUAAAGCUGUCAAUUUACAAUUUAUUUGUACAAUUUCUGUCUAUU